GCCCAGGUGGCGGAAUUGGCAGACGCGCUAGAUUUAGGCUCUAGUACCGAGAGGUGUGGGGGUUCGACUCCCCCCCUGGGCACCA
rnacentral:tRNA from 2 species